GGGGCUGCACUGGUUUCGACGUGGGUACAGAAUCGCCGUGGUGCAUGUCGAGCUUGAGUGACGCUCGUAAAUCUCUGCUCAAAAAACUAACUGCAAACGACGAACGUUUCGCACUCGCCGCUUAAACACCGGUGAGCCUCGCAACAGCAGGCCAAUGGGCUGGGCAAGGGUGCCGCAAGGCGUCCAGGCUGCGAGGUAAUCUACAUUGGCUGGUUCCACGCCGGGUGUCUUGGCAUGGGGCGAGAUUCAAGGGCACUGGCCUGUGUCAUAGCGUGCGACUGCGCGAUGGCAUGGGUGAGAUCCAAAACAGACCGCUAAACAUGUAGAUCUGCGCGAGGACGGCUGACGGACGGGGGUUCAAAUCCCCCCAGCUCCACCA
rnacentral:tmRNA from 1 species